UAAAACUUUGAAAAAAAAGCAGAGAAUGGAUGCCUUGACUCAAAACGCCGAUGAAGGACGCGGCCAGCUGCGAUAAGCUUCGGGGAGCUGCUAAGCAAGCUUUGAUCCGGAGAUGUCCGAAUGGGGAAACCUCGUAGGAGUAAUGUCCUACGGUCUCGCAAGAGACGGAAACUAGGGGAACUGAAACAUCUCAGUACCCUGGAUAAAAGAAAUCAAUAGAGAUUCCCGUAGUAGUGGCGAACGAACCGGGAAUAGCCUAAACCUUGUCCUUCGGGAUAAGGGGUUGUAGGGCCUCAAUACGAAAAUUAUUUCUAUUAAGCAAACGAUCCUGGAAAGGACGGCCAUAGAGGGUGAUAGCCCCGUCGCUGAAAAUAGAUUGAUUUUCCAGAGUGUCCCUGAGUAGGGUCGGACACGAGAAAUCCGGCCUGAAGCUGGGAAGACCACUUUCCAAGGCUAAAUACGUUUUGAGAUCGAUAGCGAACUAGUACCAUGAGGGAAAGGUGAAAAGUACCCCAGGAAGGGGAGUGAAAUAGUACCUGAAAUUCUUUGCUUGAAAUGAGUCGGAGCCCUUCGGGGUGACGGCGUACCUUUUGUAGAAUGGACCAACGAGUUAGCUGUAUGAUGCAAGCCUAAGGGAGUUUAACCCGGAGGCGUAGCGAAAGCGAGUCUUAACCGGCGCCAAGUAUCAUGCACUAGACCCGAAACGGGGUGAGCUACCCAUGGGCAGGUUGAAAAUAGGGUAAAACCUAUUGGAGGACCGAACCAACUUGUAUUGCAAGACAAGUGGAUGACCUGUGGGUAGGAGAGAAAUUCUAAUCGAACUCCGAGAUAGCUGGUUCUCUUCGAAAUAGCUUUCGGGCUAGCCUCAUACUUAUAAUUUUGGGGGGUAGAGCACUAUUUAGGCUAGGGGGCAAAAUAUGUCUACCAAACCUAGAUAAACUUCGAAUACCCAAAACAGUGUAUGGGAGUCAGACGGUGACAGCUAAGUGCCAUCGUCGAGAGGGUAACAGCCCAGAUCGUCAACUAAGGUCCCUAAUAGAAGCUCAGUGGUAAAGGAUGUGAGGAUGCGUAUACAACCAGGAGGUUGGCUUAGAAGCAGCCAUUCCUUCAAAGAGUGCGUAACAGCUCACUGGUCUAUGCGUCCUUGCGCCGAAAAUACAACGGGGCUCAAGCUUCUAACCGAAGUUGCGGGUGCACUUUAUGUGCACGGUAGAAGAGCGUUCCCAUCAGCAGUGAAGUCGGAUUGAGAAGUCCGGUGGAGCGGUGGGAAGUGCAAAUGUUGGUAUAAGUAACGUCAUUAAUGUGAAAAACGUUAACACCGAAAGUCCAAGGUUUCCCAAGCCACGUUAAUCGACUUGGGGUUAGUCGGUCCUAAGGUCCAGGCGAAAGCCAUAAGCCGAUGGACAACAGGUUAAUAUUCCUGUACAUCUUGAAAAUCGUUCCAGCAAAGCCGGAGUGCGAAUAAAUUCCAAUCGAUGUCCUUCGGGACGGAGAGAGGACUUUACUCAAAUGAAGGUGGCGCUAGAUUCGGGGGGACGCCGCGGGAUAAUUUGAGCGCAUCAAUGAAUUUGCGUGCAAGUGUUUAGCCCAUGCUCAACUAGGUAAAUCCGUUUGAGCUCGUGAUACACGAUGCAAAAAGCCGUAAGGCUUGAUUCAAGUGAGUUCUGCGGACGAGAAAAUCCUCGUUUCGAGAGUUUCAAGAUACCGUACCGCAAACCAACGCUGGUGGACAGGUCGAGUAGACCAAGGUGAUCGGGAUAACUGAGCUUAAGGAACUCGGCAAAACAGCAGGCGUAACUUCGGGAUAAGCCUUGCCUUUGAUCGUGAGAUUAUAUCAACUCGAUCUAGGCCGCAGCAAAUGAACACCUGCAACUGUUUAUCAAAAACACAGGUCCGUGCAAAGUCGUAAGACGAUGUAUACGGGCUGACUCCUGCCCAGUGCCAGAAGGUCACGUGGAGAGGUUCACGCCUUGAAACUAAGCCCUGGUGAACGGCGGCCGUAACUAUAACGGUCCUAAGGUAGCGAAAUUCCUUGUCGGGUAAGUUCCGACCCGCACGAAUGGAGUAAUGAUGGGUGUACUGUCUCAAGCUCAGACCCGGUGAAAUUACAAUAUCGGUAAAAAUGCCGAUUAGACGUGGCAGGACGAAAAGACCCCGUGCAGCUUUACUAUAGUUUAACAUUGUUUCUGGGUACUACUUGUGCAGCAUAAGUGGGAGACUGUGAAGCCUCGACGCUAGUCGGGGUGGAGUCAACGGUGAGAUACCACUCUUGUCUUGCUUAGAAACUAACUCCUCAUAAAAGGGGGACAGUGUUUGAUGGGUAGUUUAACUGGGGCGGUUGCCUCCUAAAGAGUAACGGAGGCGCGCAAUUGGUCACCUAACGCCGUAUGGAAAUCGGCGGUGUCGUGUAUUCGCACAAGGUGGCUUGACUGCAAGGCUUACAAGCCGAGCAGGGACGAAAGUCGGUGAAAAUGAUCCGGUACCACCAUGUGGGUGGGGUAUCGCUCAACGGAUAAAAGUUACGCCGGGGAUAACAGGCUAGUCUGGUCCAAGAGUCCAUAUCGACGACCAGGUUCGGCACCUCGAUGUCGGCUCGUCGCAUCCUGGGGGUGGAGAAGCUCCCAAGGGUUUGGCUGUUCGCCAAUUAAAGCGGUACGCGAGCUGGGUUCAAAACGUCGUGAGACAGUUUGGCCUCUAUCCGCCAUGUCUGAAGGAAAAUUGAAGGAAGUUGUCCUUAGUACGAGAGGACCGGGAUGAACGAACCUCUAGUGUACCUGUUGUCGCGUCAGCGGCAUGGCAGGGUAGCUAAGUUCGGCUUGGAUAAACGCUGAAAGCAUCUAAGCGUGAAGCCAGUCCUAAGAAAAUUUUCCCCAUUAGCCUCCUCGUAGACUACGAGGUUGAUAGGCCGCAGGUGUACAAGCAGAGAUGCUUUCAGCCGAGCGGUACUAACAGGCGAUUGUUGUUUUAAU
rfam:Candidatus Peregrinibacteria bacterium RIFCSPLOWO2_02_FTLL_48_14 rifcsplowo2_02_scaffold_52688, whole genome shotgun sequence.